CAAUAGCGUAUAUUUAAGUUGUUGCAGUUAAAAAGCUCGUAGUUGGAUUUCGGUUAAGAGCGACCGGUCCGCCGUUUGGUGUGCACUGGUUGGUUUUAACUUCCUGUAGAGGACGUGCUCUGGGUUUAACGACCUGGACUCGGAGUCUACGUGGUUACUUUGAAAAAAUUAGAGUGUUCAAAGCGGGCUUACGCUUGAAUAUUUCAGCAUGGAAUAACACUAUAGGACUCCUGUCCUAUUUCGUUGGUCUCGGGACGGGAGUAAUGAUUAAGAGGAACAGUUGGGGGCAUUCGUAUUUCAUCGUCAGAGGUGAAAUUCUUGGAUUUAUGAAAGACGAACUUCUGCGAAAGCAUUUGCCAAGGAUGUUUUCAUUA
rnacentral:rRNA from 1 species